CACGUGGGGAACCUGCCCCAUAGUCUGGGAUACCACUUGGAAACAGGUGCUAAUACCGGAUAAGAAAGCGGAUCGCAUGAUCAGCUUUUAAAAGGCGGCGUAAGCUGUCGCUAUGGGAUGGCCCCGCGGUGCAUUAGCUAGUUGGUAAGGUAAAGGCUUACCAAGGCGAUGAUGCAUAGCCGAGUUGAGAGACUGAUCGGCCACAUUGGGACUGAGACACGGCCCAAACUCCUAGGGAGGCAGCAGCG
rnacentral:rRNA from 1 species